rnacentral:rRNA from 1 species
UACAGGGGGGGGCAAGCGUUGUUCGGAAUUACUGGGCGUAAAGGGUUCGUAGGUGGCCAACUCAGUCAGACGUGAAAUCCCUCAGCUCAACUGGGGAACUGCGUCUGAUACUAGAUGGCUCGAGUGCAGGAGAGGAACGCGGAAUUCCAGGUGUAGCGGUGAAAUGCGUAGAUAUCGGGAGGAACACCAGUGGCGAAGGCGACUACCUGGCCUGUUCUUGACGCUGAGGCGCGAAAGCUAGGGGAGCAAACGGG